UACGGGGGGAGCAAGCGUUGUUCGGAUUUACUGGGCGUAAAGGGCGCGUAGGCGGCGUGACAAGUCACUUGUGAAAUCUCCGGGCUUAACUCGGAACGGUCAAGUGAUACUGUCGUGCUAGAGUACAGAAGGGGCAACUGGAAUUCUCGGUGUAGCGGUGAAAUGCGCAGAUAUCAGGAGGAACACCGAUUGCGAAGGCAGCUCGCUGGGACGUUACUGACGCUGAGACGCGAAAGCGUGGGGAGCAAACAGG
rnacentral:rRNA from 1 species